CAAUUGGUGGGCUUUUCCCUA
rnacentral:piRNA from 1 species